CACGCAGGCGGUCUGUCAAGUCGGAUGUGAAAUCCCCGGGCUCAACCUGGGAACUGCAUCCGAAACUGGCAGGCUAGAGUCUUGUAGAGGGGGUAGAAUUCCAGGUGUAGCGGUGAAAUGCGUAGAGAUCUGGAGGAAUACCGGUGGCGAAGGCGGCCCCCUGGACAAAGACUGACGCUCAGGUGCGAAAGCGUGGGGAGCAAACA
rnacentral:rRNA from 1 species